rnacentral:rRNA from 1 species
UCCGUAGGUGAACCUGCGGAAGGAUCAUUACUGAGUUGUCGACACGAGUUGUUGCUGGUCCUCAAACUGGGGGCAUGUGCACGCUCUGUUCACACAUCCACUCACACCUGUGCACCCUCUGUAGUUAUAUGGUCUGGGGGACGCACUGUCCUCCUCCUGUAUUUCUACGUCUUUACACAUACACCGUAGUGAAGUUUUAUGGAAUGUGUGCCGCGUUUAACGCAAUAUAAUACAACUUUCAGCAACGGAUCUCUUGGCUCUCGCAUCGAUGAAGAACGCAGCGAAAUGCGAUAAGUAAUGUGAAUUGCAGAAUUCAGUGAAUCAUCGAAUCUUUGAACGCAUCUUGCGCUCCUUGGUAUUCCAAGGAGCAUGCCUGUUUGAGUGUCAUCAAGUUCUCAACCACAUAUUUUGUGUGUGGCUUGGAUUGUGGGGUGUUGCCAGCUUUUAUACAAGUAGGCUCUCCUUAAAUGCAUAAGUGGUAUUUAGAAAAGCUACAUGUCGGGUGUUAUAAAUUGAUAAUACACCUUUUUGGCAAUUCUACUAUACUGCUUCCAACCCUGUUUUUUUUUUUGAUGAUUUUGACCUCAAAUCAGGUAGGACUACCCGCUGAACUUAAGCAUAUCAAUAAGCGGAGGAAAUC